GGCAGUGGUGGCUUAGUGGUUAGGGCUCUGGACUACAGCUUGGAAGGUUGUCAGUUUGAAUCCCAAUACUGCCA